rnacentral:rRNA from 1 species
AUUGAACGCUGGCGGCAUGCCUUACACAUGCAAGUCGAACGGCAGCGGGGGAGAAGCUUGCUUUUCCUGCCGGCGAGUGGCGAACGGGUGAGUAAUACAUCGGAACGUGCCCUGUAGUGGGGGAUAACUAGUCGAAAGAUUAGCUAAUACCGCAUACGACCUGAGGGUGAAAGUGGGGGACCGCAAGGCCUCAUGCUAUAGGAGCGGCCGAUGUCUGAUUAGCUAGUUGGUGGGGUAAAGGCCUACCAAGGCGACGAUCAGUAGCUGGUCUGGGAGGACGAUCAGCCACACUGGGACUGAGACACGGCCCAGACUCCUACGGGGGGCAGCAGUGGGGAAUUUUGGACAAUGGGCGAAAGCCUGAUCCAGCAAUGCCGCGUGUGUGAAGAAGGCCUUCGGGUUGUAAAGCACUUUUGUCCGGAAAGAAAUGGCUCUGGUUAAUACCUGGGGUCGAUGACAGUACCGGAAGAAUAAGGACCGGCUAACUACGUGCCAGCCGCCGCCGUAA